AAUUCCCAGGCAUCAAGAUCUGAUUUGUCGUGGUGUGUCACCUGGUGAAUACUGAAUUCCUCUUCUGUCUCAGGGGACCCAUGUACUAUGAAGAGCUUACAUUUUCCUGGGAGGAAAUGUUGAGAAAAUGAGAAAAAUGUCCGUAAACAGACAACCAAAUGCAAAGUAACUUCACAAAGGAGAGAGCACAGACAAUUGACAACAGAGUUGAGUUUUACCUGGAUCAACUUUGGUAACAUAUCUUAUUGUCACAGAGGGACUAUGUUUAAAAAAAUAAAUUGUUAUUGGUGUCUUUUC